GACUUUUUUCAUUCUCUAAAAGUGAUUAAAGUUUCAUUAUAAAUUAAUACAAAAGUUAAAUGUUUGUUACAUAAAAAUGAUACAAAAAAUAUGACUAAAAUUUCCAAGUUUGUUUAUACUGUGAUGAUCUUUAUUUUUUUUAUAGGUAAGAUAAGCACUGGAAGAAGUGUCUUUUGUUUCGCCAACUUUAUGUGUAAGGAUCUGUGUAUCGCUCCUUUGAAAGGCGUUUGUAGUAAUGAGACAUGUCAUUGCUUGUGAUGGUUCACAAAGUAUCACUUUUAAUUAGUGAGAGGUUAAGGGAAUAAAUUUGUAAACCUCUUAAUUUUUGUAGUACUAUUUUGAGUUUGUUUAUAUUUUGAUCAAAAAAAAUAUUUUGAGUUUGUUUAUUUUUUA